rnacentral:sRNA from 1 species
GCCAGGCAUGAUAGCACAUGCCUGUAAUCCCAGUGACUCAGAGGCUAAGGCAGGAGGAUCACAGUUUUGAGGCCUGCCUCAAUAACAUAGCAAGACCCUGUCUCUA